ACCGUUCGUUAUCGGAAAGAAAGACUGUAUAAAAGAAAACGAAGAAGAAAAAAAGAAGAAUAUAAUAUUCAGGCCCAUUGCUAUUCGUUGUGUAUAAGUUCAAGAAAGUUGAUCGCCCUCGUGUAAGAUUCAUUGAUCUUUUUCGAUGGAGGAAGUGAAAGGAAUGUGAAAGAAAAGAAUACUGUUUGGUCGAAUAAGAAAAAAAAAAGAAGAAGAAGAAGAAGAGGUAGAAGAAGAGAAGAAGUAAUAGGAGGUGAACAGGAGAAGGGAGAAGAAAAAACACGAGAGUAUUGUUGUUUCGUGUGCCAGUGAAUUCGGUGGUCUCGCUGUCGUAUGAAGUAAACGGGUGAACAACAGGAUGGGUUGUGGCCAGAGUAAAAUCGGUAACAUCUAUCCGAAGAACAAGAAGAACAAGAACAACAGUAAUAAGAAAAAUGGAGACUCUAUACUACGUUAAAAACUGUGACAAGGUGGAAGGACAUCUGGCAUCCUUUUUUCUUAUGCUUCCUGCUUCUAAGAAGAAGGAAGCCUCGUCGGUAAAUAUUAAACGCCGAGGACGCAGGACGUCGUCGUCGAGGUUAGAAAACAAGCAGAAGGGCGCGAAGAUGUGGCUAAAAGUUCUCAGACAGAAUAUAUCGCAUCUGGCUCGCAGAGCUAAGGGCAGCACAUCUGUCGAACAAAAGAACGGUAACGGCAAUGGCAAAGGAAACAAAACGAAUAACAACGGGGUGGAGGUGAAUAGAAAUGAGGAGCAAAAUGGUUCGGGCGAUGUCAAAGGUCAAACGAAGAAGAAACCGAAUGGUGCUGGAGGUGGACCGCUUUUACAACAAGCAGAGAUAUCCACCAGUCAGUUGGAUUUCUUCAAAAUGCUUGAUGAAAAGAUUGAAAAUGGUCCUGACUAUGACGAAACUCUUGACUCAGCGAACCGAGCCGAACAUGUGUCAAAUCUUUUACGGCGUUGGGAGUUAGCAAGCGUAACGUGGUCGAGCGUGUCCGAUCUGAAUAACGCAACAUUGUCCAAUCAAAAGAAUCGUAAUUCCGGUUUGAGUACGUCGAAACAAAGUCUAAGUGCUAAGGAUCGGGAGGGAAUGAGAAAUAUAGUAGGUGGUAGGCCAGAGAGUGCACCGAUAUUUGUGAGAAAUGCUAAUCGUGUCGAUGGCCUUCAGGAAAGUCAUUGUCACUCACCUAAUAUGCCAAGGCACGUGUUAGAAUCUAUUACUCAAAGUCCAACUCAAAGUUUGAAAAAUGUUACGCCGCCAGGAAGUUCACCGACCGGUGGUGGUUUGCGUUAUCAGGAUAGUUAUAAGGAAUGUAACGCUAAUCAAAUGCCAACUAAAGGUACAACAAAAAUACAUUACGGAUCGCAGAAUCCUGUAAACGGUGAAUAUGUCACACAGCAAGCUUUAUAUCGUGAACAAUAUCUUCAACAAACUGGAAUUAUUGUACCACCAUCGCAAUACUCUGGAUCACAAGGUGGCAAUGUACUCAGAAACAAUCCAUACGUUCAACAAUUUCAGAUCGGUAGUCCACAACAUUUCUCUGUAACGAGAAAACGAGGCUUUAAUGCCGCCCAAAUGACGUGACCAGGAUUGGCACGAACGACGAGAUAAGACUGAAUAUGAUUCGCAGGGAACUCUUCUUGUGAAAAGUUGAGAGCUAAGGGAAGAGAGAGUGAGAGCGAGAGAGAGAGAGAGAGAGAGAGAGAGGAGAAUAGAGAGCAAUUGGACAUGGAAAGAAAGAAGAAAAAAGAUGGAGAGAGAGAGAGAGAGAGGGAGAUGGAGAUGGAGAGAGAGAGAUAGUGAAGGAAAAGAUUGUAAGGAAGAUCCGUAAAAAUGGGUUGCUUCUGAAAAACUCGUAAUCCUCAGCUCGCGUUAUUCAACUUCUUAUACUUUAGAUUCCUCUGUCGAUAAGAACUUUCCCAUGAUGUUUAAAAGAAAAAUGGUGGAAGAAGAUGAGGAGGAUGAGAAAGAAAAGGAGUAAGAAGAGGAGGAGGAGGAGGGGGAGGAGGAGGUGAUGAUGGUGGAAGAAGAAGGUAAUGGCCUAAGGAUACAAAACUUGAUUCGAUCGACGAUUGAAAGAAGAAUAGAAGAAAAAAAUAAUACAAGAAAAUAAUCAGUGGAAUAUGGGGGAAAAAAGAAAGAAAGAAGAAAACAAAAAAAAAAAGAAGAGAUCAUACAUACAUCUUAAAUAAAAAAGAAUUCGCGUUGAGAGUGACUAAAUAAAAGAGUGACUACCAUUGAUACUACUAUACAUCGUUAAUAAAAGUGCCAAAAUGCUC